rnacentral:rRNA from 1 species
GACGAACCGUGCGAACGUUAUUCGGAAUCACUGGGCUUAAAGCGCGUGUAGGCGGGAGGGCACGUCCGUCGCUGAAAUCCCCCGGCUCAACCGGGGAACGGGCGCGGAUACGACCUUCCUGGAGGGGCGUAGGGGGACCUGGAACUUCCGGUGGAGCGGUGAAAUGCGUUGAGAUCGGAAGGAACGCCCGUGGCGAAAGCGAGGUCCUGGACGCCUACUGACGCUGAGGCGCGAAAGCGUGGGGAGCGAACAGG